GGUUCGGUUCAGCAUUCCGAAAUUCGGGACUUCGGCAAUUCGGCACGUCGGCAUGUCGACACUUCGGAACUUCGGCAACUUCGACACUUCGGAACUUCGCCACUUUGGAAUUUCGGUAACUUCGGCACUUCGACACUUCGGAACUUUGGAACUUCGGCAACUUCGGAACUUUGGAAUUUCGGAACUUGUCUUGCAGCCGCUUGGUAGAUAACUCCCUUAUUCCCACCAAUUUAGGCCUUUCAGCCACAUUUACUAAUACUAAGUAAAAAUGACUUAGUAUUAGUAAAUUUUGCCCCUACUCGCUAUACCGCGAGUAGGGGCAUGUCUAGUAAACAGUGAGUACUAAUUGGGGGGACCUAAUGUCCUCCCCCUUGGCCCCCACCCACCGAUCAGGGGUGGGGGCCCUAAAUACUAAUUGGGGGGGACCUGAUGUCCUCUCCCUGGCCCCCACCCCUGAGCGGUGGGUGGGAGCCCUAAAUUAGAAUGAGGGGGAGGACCUAAUGUCCCCACCCCUGAGCGGUGGGUGGGGGCCCUAAAUACUAAUUAGAGGGGAACCUAAUGUCCUCCCUCCUGGCCCCCACCCACCGCUCAGGGGUGGGGGCCCUAAAUACUAAUUGGGGGAACCUAAUGUCCUCUCCCUGGCCCACACCCCUGAGCGGUGGGUGGGAGCCCUAAAUUAGAAUGAGGGGGGAGGACCUAAUGUCCCCACCCCUGAGCGGUGGGCUGGGGCCCUAAAUACUAAUUAGAGGGGGAACCUAAUGUCCUCCCCCCUGGCCCCACCCACCGCUCAGGGGUGGGGGCCCUAAAUACUAAUUGGGGGGAACCUAAUGUCCUCCCUCUGGCCCCCACCCCUGAGCGGUGGGUGGGGGCCCUAAAUUAAAAUGAGGGGGAGGACCUAAUGUCCCCACCCCUGAGCGGUGGGUGGGGGCCCUAAAUACUAAUUAGGGGAGGAACCUAAUGUCCUACCCCCUGGCCCCUACCCAACGCUCAGGGAUGAGGACAUUAGGUACCCCCCUAAUUAGUAUUUAGGGCCCCCAUCCCCGCUCAGGGGUGGGGGCCAGGGAGGAGGACAUUUGGUCCCCCAAUGAGUAUUUAGGGCCCCACCAACGCUCAGGGGUGGGGGCCAGGGGAGAGGACAUUAGGUCCCCCCCAAUUAGUAUUUAGGGACCCCACCCACCGCUCAGUGGUGGGGGCCAGGGGGAGGACAUUAGGUCCCCCCUAAUUAAUUUUUUUUUUUACAGUGAGCAGCCACUGUUUACUAGACAUGCCCCUACUCGCAGUAUAGCGAGUAGGGGCAUAAUUUACUAAUACUAAGUAAUCUUUACUUAGUAUUAGUAAAUUUGGCUGAAAGACCAAUUUAGGUCUUUCAGCCUUUAAGUAGAUAGCUCCCUAAUACCAUGGGAAGUUAUCUACUUAUUCAUUCCUGUCAUUACAUGACUGGCUAAGUAACUUACAUUUUAUAUGAAUGUGUGUUACUUGAAUGUUGUAAGUGUUGCAAAUGCUUACAGCUGAAUCCUGGCUAUGUUUGUAUACUUUUAAUUUAAAAUUGUAUACAGUGUAACAUUCUUCUUCUUCCACUGGGUAAGUAUAUUAGUACUUAGGCAAAACUGUGCUUCGGAACUUUGUCAAUUCAGCACUUCGGCAACUUCGGCACUUCAGCACUUCGGCAAUUUCAGAAUUUCGGGACCUCGGUAAUUCGGCACUUCGGCUAUUCGGACAUUUGGAAGUACCCGAAUGUCCGAAUUGUCCGAAAUUCGUCCGAAUACAUAUUCGGCCCGAAACGAAUUGCACAUGUCUAAUAUUCUUUAUAUUUAUAAAAAGGGAGUUGCUGUUGUUUGCCACAUGUUCCAUGGUUCUGACAUUUUUUGAAGUCCUUCUGUUGGGGCUUGGAUGAAUAAAUAUUUCCCCUGAGAAUUGAAGUGCAGAAUAGAUUUAUCUUAAUUUUAUAUGAAUCCCAUUCUCCAUCAUCCCAAAAUAAAUUGAGUGUUUUUUUCCCACUGAAGUUAGUAUCCAUUUCUGAUAAUAUUUAAUAGAAUAUCUUUUAUUGUUACUUACUAAUUUUAGCUUUUUUUUUUUCUUUUUUAGUGACAAACUUCAGAAGCUUUCUAAGACCUUCAUGGACAAUCUCUUCAAUUCUUUUUAUAUACGGGAUGGCUAAACAAUGCAUUUCAAAAUAUUAAAUACUUUUUUACUGUAAAAGCUUGUAAAUGUGGUAUACAGGUUGAUUUAAUCAGCUGGAAAAAAACGAUAUGGAAGGUUUAUCAAAGUGUUCUGUUUCAAAAGUGGUGCAACAAUGUAAAAGGUAGAGGAAUCACCAAUGGAAUAUGCUAGAUCAACGUAACAUUUGCUUCAGCCAAAUUAGUUGUGGCGAAAAUACAAAUAAUUUCAGGAAUGACAAAUUUCAGUGCCUGCUGUUACAUUGGUUACCAUAGUGAUUGCCCCACUUUUAGUAUUUUUAAUCACUUUUUAGAACAGAACUCUUUGAUAAGUCUUCUCUAUACAUGUAUCAGGAAAAUGUUUGAUUUAUAGAUUCAUGAUUCAGAGACAAGAAAUUAUGUACUUUGAGUGAGCUCCAACAGUGCAAUACAAUAUAUGAAAGUUUAUUUGCAGGAUGUCUCAUCUCAGUCCAGGUAAAUUCCUUCUUUUUUUUAAAGAAGACCGACUUAUAUUUCUCUGAAGAAUUUUGAUUUCAAAUUAGAAAGACUAGUGCAUAUCAGGAAACACGAAAAUAGCAAUGUUUACAUUAGUUUAAAUAGGUUUAUAUAAGAACCUAUUUCAAGCUAACACGAAACAUAAAAAAUACCAAAAAUACACAGAUAGCAUAAGCGCUAGAGUGUCAACUGAGUAUAUGAUCAUCAUAUAUGAGAUAUGAUAGCAGGCAGCAAACACUAAUAGUAAGGGUUACCCUCAACUCCUUUCUGAAAGAUAUAGAAAAAACAAUAUACACAAAAUAUAGGUUGCAACAAUAUAAAGUCCUAUUAGUCCACAAUUGCUAGGGUCUGUUCUCUACUGGUAACCGUCCAGACUUCAAAUGGUGGGAGAAUAUGAACUAAAAGUAGAAAAUAACCAGUGAUGGUGCAGAGAGUAUGGAACUAGGUACAGGACUACAACAAUAAUUUAUAUGGUAUAUCACUCACAUUUAAGAGAGAUUUAAGACCAGCUCUGAGUUUAACAGAAUGCAGCGGUACAAUCCCCCCUGAUGACUAAGUAGAUCUGGAGGCUGGUGUCAGACAAUAGUCUUCACUGUAAUCAAUGUUAUAAUGGUUGUAAAAGUAAGACUAUUCUACUCACAUGUAGUAGAGCAGUAGAUCCUGCUCAGAUAAUAAUGCUUGGGUGGUAUAAUCCCCACCAGGGAUAUAAUGUUGGGUAGAUUCUUUAAGGAGUAGUAUUCCUUAUUAGUUAAGUUUUUUAGUGUCAGGAAUGGAAGUACAUUAAAAUAUAAUAAAGGCAACUAAAAGCAUAAAAAGUGUAAUAAAUGGACAAUGAAAACUAG